CAGGAGAGCUUGCUCUCUGGGUGGCGAGUGGCGGACGGGUGAGGAAUACAUCGGAAUCUACUCUGUCGUGGGGGAUAACGUAGGGAAACUUACGCUAAUACCGCAUACGACCUACGGGUGAAAGCAGGGGACCUUCGGGCCUUGCGCGAUUGAAUGAGCCGAUGUCGGAUUAGCUAGUUGGCGGGGUAAAGGCCCACCAAGGCGACGAUCCGUAGCUGGUCUGAGAGGAUGAUCAGCCACACUGGAACUGAGACACGGUCCAGACUCCUACGGGAGGCAGCAGUGGGGAAUAUUGGACAAUGGGCGCAAGCCUGAUCCAGCCAUACCGCGUGGGUGAAGAAGGCCUUCGGGUUGUAAAGCCCUUUUGUUGGGAAAGAAAUCCAGCUGGCUAAUACCCGGUUGGGAUGACGGUACCCAAAGAAUAAGCACCGGCUAACU
rnacentral:rRNA from 1 species